rnacentral:lncRNA from 10 species
CUGCUCUGCAGGUCUGAAGGAGAGACUGUUGAACUUCACAGACUUCCGGAAAAACAGGCGGUACCCUCCAUGGGACAGAACUCUGCUUACAAACUUUAAAACUGGAUGAUGCAAAAAUUACCUGCACAGCAGAGGAGGACAACGAACCAUAGCUCAUACAUGGAAGAGAGUUGCCUUGUCUGAGAUGAGACAUUGGACUGUGGACUUUUGAGUUAAUGUUGGAAUGAGUUAAGACUUUGGGGGAAUGUUGGGAAGGCAUGUUUGAUUUUGCAAUGUGAGAAGGACAUGAAAUUUUGGAGGGGCCAGUGAUGGAAUAAUAUGGUUUGGCUCUGGGCCCCCACUGAAAUCUCAUCUUGAAUGGUAAUCCCCAUGUAUUGAGGAAGGAUCUGGUGGGAGGUGAUUGGAUGGUCAGGGCAGUUUUCCCAUACUGUUCUCAUAAUAGUGAGGGAGAGCUCAUGAGAUCUGAUGGUUUAAAAGUGGCAGUCUCCCCUGUGCUUGCUCUCUCUGCUGUCACCUAGUGAAGAAGGUACUGCUUCUCUUUCACCUUCUGCCAUGAUUGUAAGCUUCUUGAGACCUCCAGCCAUGUAGAACUGUGAAUCAAUUAAAUCUCUUUUAUUUAUAAAUUACCCAGUCUCAGGUAGUUCUUUCUAGUAGUGUGAACUGCUAGAAAUACAAUGGGGUUAGUGUCCCUAUAAGAAGAGCAAUAGACCCCAGAAUUUUCUCUCUCUCUUCCCUCACAGUAUGAGGACACAUAUUGCAGGCAGCCAGGAACUGGUCCUCACCAGAAUCAAAUCUGUGAGCACCUUGAUCUUGGACAUCCCAGUUUCCAGAACUGUGAGAAAGAAGUGUCUGUUAUGUAAUCCUCCUAGCAUCUGGUAUUCUCUUCUAGCAGCCAGAGCUUACAAAGACAACUAUGUUCUUGGCACUGAC